rnacentral:rRNA from 1 species
CCUACGGGAGGCAGCAGUGGGGAAUAUUGCACAAUGGAGGCAACCCUGAUCCAGCGAUGCCGCGUGCAUGAAGACGUCUCUCGGUAUGUAAAGCUCUAUCAGCACGGGAGAAAACGCCGGUACCUGUAUAAGAAGCACCGUCUAACUACGUGCCAGAAGCCGCGGUAAUACGUAGGCGGCAAGCGUUAUCCGGAUUUACUGGGUGUAAAGGGAGCGUAGACGGCAGCACAAGUCUGGAGUGAAAUGCCGGGGCUUAACCCCGGAACUGCGUUGGAAACUGUGCAGCUAGAGUGCAGGAGAGGUAAGUGGAAUUCCUGGUGUAGCGGUGAAAUGCUUAGAGAUUAGGAGGAACACCAGUGGCGAAGGCAGCUUACUGGACUGUAACUGACGUUGAGGCUCGAAAGCGUGGGGAGCAAACAGGAUUAGAUACCCUUGUAGUC